CAAUGCUUCGGCUUGCGGGGUGAUCGUGACUUGACAAGAAAUAAGUUACCGAUAAUAGACUAGGCGUUUGGCUGAACAUGACUGAAGAUUCGUCAGGACACAGAUGCUGAGAGCCCCAUACGAGACACCUGCAGUGUCUCUCUGAUACGCGCUCCCCAAAGCCCCGUAUCAGUAUCCCCAGUCAGUGCUUAAGCACGGCUGAGGGAAGCGAGCGAAUGGAUCACUCUCACGUAGCCCGCAUGGAACUCAAGUAGCCUAGACUAUGGCCCACAGGGAGCAUCUGAUGGAGCGGGCGAGGCAGCCAGCUGAAGGUGACCUGUGGCUUGGCCAGGGGCUGCAACACAGGACAUGGGAGCUGCCUCUGCCUCCCGCUCGUGUCUUGUGUUGCAGCCAGUGGACUGGCCACUCUCCCAGCACCAGCAUCAGCCGGAGCGAUGGAUAGAAGGAGAGCGAGGGAGAGAGAGGGAAAGAGAGAGAGAGGCUCUGCUUCCCACUCCCUGCCCCACAUCAAGCAGCGAAGCGACAUCACACGGCAUGGGCGCUGUCUUGCUUUGGCAACAUCAAUGGCGGUGAUGUCGAUUUAUUUCUAACUUUACAUUAAUAUUCAAUUUUCUUUCUAGUUAUGUCUUAAAGCAGAUCCUUUUUUGUCCCUCCAGGGUGAUUUAGGAUUCUGAGUCUUUCUUUUCUCUCGAGGGAUUUAAAAACGAUGUUGUGUUCGCCUGAAUAAGGGCCUCUGGUAAAGAGCUGUAUCCUUGCUUAGAGGGAUCAAGUGCCAACUGUACGUGUAACAUUUCUGAUGCUCUAAUUCUUACAUGAAGAGAUGCUGUAAAUGUUAUAGUUAAAAAAUCGCUUGAAAAAGAGCCCAAGUAAAAAUGAGCAGGCAUCUAUUUUUAAAAAGAGUUACUGUUCUGUUCUGAUAUGCAAAGGGGAAAAAAAGUAUGUUGUGUUCUUUAAAGGGACGUGGCGUGGUGCAUGGUGGCAGGUUUAUUUUAAUGACAGGUGCACGCACACACACACACACACACACACACACACACACACACACACA